AGGGUAGAAUGGCCGAAGGCCGUAGGCGGCAGGUUGUAAUUCUGUUAAUAUGGGUUUAACUCCUAUUUCUGCCA
rnacentral:tRNA from 1 species